AUGGCUGCGGACAGCAAGCUGCAGAGCCCGCUGCUGCCGCCGCCGGCCGGCAGCGAGGGCGAGGAGGGGCACGGGGAGGCCAGCAAGCGGCUGGAGAGCAUCCUGAGCGACGAGUCGGUGCCGUGGGCGCGGCGGAUGUGCGCGGCGACGGCGGUGGAGAUGCGGAUGCUGGUGCGGCUGGCGGCGCCGGCCGUGCUGGUGUACAUGAUCAACUACCUCAUGUCCAUGUCCACGCAGAUCUUCUCCGGCCACCUGGGCACGCUGGAGCUCGCCGCCGCCUCCCUCGGCAACACCGGCAUCCAGGUCUUCGCCUACGGCCUCAUGCUUGGCAUGGGGAGCGCGGUGGAGACUCUAUGUGGGCAGGCGUACGGCGCGAACAAGUUCGACAUGCUGGGCAUCUACAUGCAACGCUCCACUGUCCUGCUCAUGGCCACCGGCAUCCCGCUCGCCGUCCUCUACGCGUUCUCCCGCCCCAUUCUCAUCCUCCUCGGCGAGUCCCCCGAGAUAGCCAGCGCCGCGGCCAUCUUCGUCUACGGCCUCAUCCCACAGAUCUUUGCCUACGCCGCCAACUUCCCCAUCCAGAAGUUCAUGCAGGCGCAGAGCAUCAUGGCGCCCAGUGCCUACAUCUCCACGGCCACGCUUGCCGUCCACCUCGUCCUCAGCUACCUCGUCGUCUACAAGUUUGGGCUGGGGCUUCUGGGCGCCUCGCUCAUGCUCAGCGUCAGCUGGUGGAUCAUCGUCAUUGGGCAGUUCAUCUAUAUCGUCACCAGCAGCCGGUGCCGCCUCACGUGGACUGGGUUCUCCGUCCAGGCGUUCUCCGGGUUGCCCGAGUUUUUCAAGCUGUCCCUGGCCUCCGCCAUCAUGCUCUGCCUCGAGACUUGGUACUUCCAGAUACUGGUGCUCAUUGCUGGCCUCCUCAAGGACCCCGAAAUGGCUCUCGCAUCGCUCUCUGUCUGCAUGACCAUUUCAGGAUGGGUGUUCAUGAUCUCAGUUGGAUUCAAUGCAGCAGCUAGCGUGAGGGUGAGCAAUGAGCUUGGCGCGGGCAACCCCAAGUCGGCGGCGUUCUCGGUGGUGGUGGUGACGGUGCUGUCGUUCAUCUUGGCGGCGAUAAUCUCGAUAGUCAUCCUGUUCUUCCGUGACUACAUCAGUUACAUUUACACGGGGGGCGACGAUGUGGCGGCAGCGGUGUCCAAGCUGACGCCGCUCCUGGCGCUCACCCUCAUCCUCAACGGCAUCCAGCCAGUAUUGUCAGGGGUGGCCGUGGGGUGUGGGUGGCAAGCGUUCGUCGCCUACGUCAACGUCGGCUGCUACUACGUCGUCGGCAUCCCUCUUGGCUGCCUCCUCGGCUUCUACUUCGACCUCGGUGCGGCGGGCAUAUGGAGCGGUAUGAUUGGAGGUACCUUUAUGCAGACUGUGAUCCUGGUGUGGGUUACCGUGAGGACCGACUGGAACAAAGAGGUGGCCGAAGCGAGGAAAAGAUUGAACAAAUGGGAAGGCAACAAGAUGCCUCUAUUAGCAGGCCAAGAAUGA
rnacentral:rRNA from 1 species